AGAGUUUGAUCCUGGCUCAGGAUGAACGCUGGCGGCAUGCCUAAUACAUGCAAGUCGAACGAGAGGAAGGAAAGCUUGCUUUUCUGAAUCUAGUGGCGAACGGGUGAGUAACACGUAGGUAACCUGCCCAUGUGCCCGGGAUAACUUCUGGAAACGGAUGCUAAAACCGGAUAGGUAGCAGACAAGCAUUUGACUGCUAUUAAAGUGGCUUUGGCCAUGAACAUGGAUGGACCUGCGGUGCAUUAGCUAGUUGGUGAGGUAACGGCCCACCAAGGCGACGAUGCAUAGCCGGCCUGAGAGGGCGGACGGCCACAUUGGGACUGAGACACGGCCCAAACUCCUACGGGAGGCAGCAGUAGGGAAUUUUCGUCAAUGGGGGGAACCCUGAACGAGCAAUGCCGCGUGAGUGAGGAAGGUCUUCGGAUCGUAAAGCUCUGUUGUAAGAGAAAAACGGCACUCAUAGGGAAUGAUGAGUGAGUGAUGGUAUCUUACCAGAAAGUCACGGCUAACUACGUGCCAGCAGCCGCGGUAAUACGUAGGUGGCGAGCGUUAUCCGGAAUGAUUGGGCGUAAAGGGUGCGUAGGUGGCAGAUCAAGUCUGGAGUAAAAGGUAUGGGCUCAACCCGUACUGGCUCUGGAAACUGAUCAGCUAGAGAACAGAAGAGGACGGCGGAACUCCAUGUGUAGCGGUAAAAUGCGUAGAUAUAUGGAAGAACACCGGUGGCGAAGGCGGCCGUCUGGUCUGGAUUCUGACACUGAAGCACGAAAGCGUGGGGAGCAAAUAGGAUUAGAUACCCUAGUAGUCCACGCCGUAAACGAUGAGAACUAGGUGUUGGGGGAAUAACUCAGUGCCGCAGUUAACGCAGUAAGUUCUCCGCCUGGGGAGUAUGCACGCAAGUGUGAAACUCAAAGGAAUUGACGGGGGCCCGCACAAGCGGUGG
rnacentral:rRNA from 1 species